AAAACAUUGUUUGGCUCAAGGUUCUGGAGACAUGAGAAUGUGGUUCCAGCAACAGCUCUGCUCUGGGGAGGCUGUCAUGAUGGAUGGCACCAGGAGGGCAUGAAUUGGCUCCGUCUCCUGAGCCCGCAUCAGUCCCUUCUGAGAGUGGGGCCUCAGUGAUGUGAUAUAAUGACCCUCAGUGGUGUCACCUCUGACGGGUUCCAAGACCAAGGCCACAGCACAGCAAAUACAGUAACAAGUGUCAAUGCAAAGUGCCUCUUCCUCCGCUCGCAUUAGACUGUCUACUCCGCAAGGUAGAGGACACGUCACCUUGGCCCCCAUCUACGGUGGACCAACCCAGCAGUGGACACAGCUGCUGAAGAUACCGUGAGAGCUUCUGGGAAAGUCACCAGCAGACAGCAAUUGGAUUACUCCAAAACAGAGCCGUGGAACCACACCGAGCCUGCUGUGCUUGUGUGCUGGGGGUCUGCUUAGCAAGUCAGCCAGAGCUAAGAAGCUAUGCGGAAACAAAUUCCCAAAAAACACAGACUCCCAUGGAAAAGAAUGGAAAAAGGUCAGGGGAUCUGAGUUCACUUGGCUGUUGUUUGGUCCCUGGGCUGUGCCCGCUGUGGUUUUCCUGCACAAUGACUUCUUUUGACCUGGUUCUGAGACCUUGGCAACCUGCUUUGUUGUGCUUAAAUUUGACCUUGCCUGACCCCUGUGUCAUUUGGGAUGUCACCAUGGAAACUUCUAGACCUCCCUGGAGCUGGCUUCUGGCCAUGAGCGCCUACCCCAGAUGGGUGCUCUCUUUCAGAUCUCUGGGACCCAUCUCCCAGACUGCAGACAGAUCAGACCUGACCUCGAUGAGAUCUGGGAAAACAGUUAUACGGGACAGCAGGCAGCUUUUCUGGGGAGACCUGUCAAGUAAGUGUCAGCAGCACUUUUCCCCAGAAAUCCCAGGGCAAUGUUUACAUUAAGGAGGUUAUCAGGAACAUUGGCAAAG
rnacentral:lncRNA from 1 species